UGGGGAAUCUUCCGCAAUGGACGAAAGUCUGACGGAGCAACGCCGCGUGUAUGACGAAGGCCUUCGGGUUGUAAAGUACUGUCUUUGGGGACGAAACGGUAUCUAUGUAAAUAAUGUAGAUACAUGACGGUACCCAAGGAGGAAGCCCCGGCUAACUACGUGCCAGCAGCCGCGGUAAUACGCAGGGGGCGAGCGUUGUCCGGAAUCAUUGGGCGUAAAAGGGGCGCGUAGGCGGGUCAUUAAGUCUGGUGUGAAAGGCAGGGGCUCAACCCCUGGAAGGCACCGGAACUGGUUAUCUUGAGGACAGGAGAGGAAAGCGGAAUUCCACGUGUAGCGGUGAAAUGCGUAGAUAUGUGGAGGAACACCAGGUCGGCAGGACGGCGGCUUUCUGGACUGUAACUGACGCUGAGGCGCGAAAGCGU
rnacentral:rRNA from 1 species